GGGUUGUGAGGUUAAGCGACUAAGCGUACACGGUGGAUGCCCUGGCAGUCAGAGGCGAUGAAGGACGUGCUAAUCUGCGAUAAGCGUCGGUAAGGUGAUAUGAACCGUUAUAACCGGCGAUUUCCGAAUGGGGAAACCCAGUGUGAUUCGUCACACUAUCAUUAACUGAAUCCAUAGGUUAAUGAGGCGAACCGGGGGAACUGAAACAUCUAAGUACCCCGAGGAAAAGAAAUCAACCGAGAUUCCCCCAGUAGCGGCGAGCGAACGGGGAGGAGCCCAGAGCCUGAAUCAGUGUGUGUGUUAGUGGAAGCGUCUGGAAAGGCGCGCGAUACAGGGUGACAGCCCCGUACACAAAAAUGCACAUGCUGUGAGCUCGAUGAGUAGGGCGGGACACGUGGUAUCCUGUCUGAAUAUGGGGGGACCAUCCUCCAAGGCUAAAUACUCCUGACUGACCGAUAGUGAACCAGUACCGUGAGGGAAAGGCGAAAAGAACCCCGGCGAGGGGAGUGAAAAAGAACCUGAAACCGUGUACGUACAAGCAGUGGGAGCACAGAGCAAUCUGUGUGACUGCGUACCUUUUGUAUAAUGGGUCAGCGACUUAUAUUCUGUAGCAAGGUUAACCGAAUAGGGGAGCCGAAGGGAAACCGAGUCUUAACUGGGCGUUAAGUUGCAGGGUAUAGACCCGAAACCCGGUGAUCUAGCCAUGGGCAGGUUGAAGGUUGGGUAACACUAACUGGAGGACCGAACCGACUAAUGUUGAAAAAUUAGCGGAUGACUUGUGGCUGGGGGUGAAAGGCCAAUCAAACCGGGAGAUAGCUGGUUCUCCCCGAAAGCUAUUUAGGUAGCGCCUCGUGAAUUCAUCUCCGGGGGUAGAGCACUGUUUCGGCAAGGGGGUCAUCCCGACUUACCAACCCGAUGCAAACUGCGAAUACCGGAGAAUGUUAUCACGGGAGACACACGGCGGGUGCUAACGUCCGUCGUGAAGAGGGAAACAACCCAGACCGCCAGCUAAGGUCCCAAAGUCAUGGUUAAGUGGGAAACGAUGUGGGAAGGCCCAGACAGCCAGGAUGUUGGCUUAGAAGCAGCCAUCAUUUAAAGAAAGCGUAAUAGCUCACUGGUCGAGUCGGCCUGCGCGGAAGAUGUAACGGGGCUAAACCAUGCACCGAAGCUGCGGCAGCGACGCUGAUGCGUUGUUGGGUAGGGGAGCGUUCUGUAAGCCUGUGAAGGUGUGCUGUGAGGCAUGCUGGAGGUAUCAGAAGUGCGAAUGCUGACAUAAGUAACGAUAAAGCGGGUGAAAAGCCCGCUCGCCGGAAGACCAAGGGUUCCUGUCCAACGUUAAUCGGGGCAGGGUGAGUCGACCCCUAAGGCGAGGCCGAAAGGCGUAGUCGAUGGGAAACAGGUUAAUAUUCCUGUACUUGGUGUUACUGCGAAGGGGGGACGGAGAAGGCUAUGUUGGCCGGGCGACGGUUGUCCCGGUUUAAGCGUGUAGGCUGGUUUUCCAGGCAAAUCCGGAAAACUAAGGCUGAGGCGUGAUGACGAGGCACUACGGUGCUGAAGCAACAAAUGCCCUGCUUCCAGGAAAAGCCUCUAAGCAUCAGGUAACAUCAAAUCGUACCCCAAACCGACACAGGUGGUCAGGUAGAGAAUACCAAGGCGCUUGAGAGAACUCGGGUGAAGGAACUAGGCAAAAUGGUGCCGUAACUUCGGGAGAAGGCACGCUGAUAUGUAGGUGAAGUCCCUCGCGGAUGGAGCUGAAAUCAGUCGAAGAUACCAGCUGGCUGCAACUGUUUAUUAAAAACACAGCACUGUGCAAACACGAAAGUGGACGUAUACGGUGUGACGCCUGCCCGGUGCCGGAAGGUUAAUUGAUGGGGUCAGCGCAAGCGAAGCUCUUGAUCGAAGCCCCGGUAAACGGCGGCCGUAACUAUAACGGUCCUAAGGUAGCGAAAUUCCUUGUCGGGUAAGUUCCGACCUGCACGAAUGGCGUAAUGAUGGCCAGGCUGUCUCCACCCGAGACUCAGUGAAAUUGAACUCGCUGUGAAGAUGCAGUGUACCCGCGGCAAGACGGAAAGACCCCGUGAACCUUUACUAUAGCUUGACACUGAACAUUGAGCCUUGAUGUGUAGGAUAGGUGGGAGGCUUUGAAGUGUGGACGCCAGUCUGCAUGGAGCCGACCUUGAAAUACCACCCUUUAAUGUUUGAUGUUCUAACGUUGACCCGUAAUCCGGGUUGCGGACAGUGUCUGGUGGGUAGUUUGACUGGGGCGGUCUCCUCCUAAAGAGUAACGGAGGAGCACGAAGGUUGGCUAAUCCUGGUCGGACAUCAGGAGGUUAGUGCAAUGGCAUAAGCCAGCUUGACUGCGAGCGUGACGGCGCGAGCAGGUGCGAAAGCAGGUCAUAGUGAUCCGGUGGUUCUGAAUGGAAGGGCCAUCGCUCAACGGAUAAAAGGUACUCCGGGGAUAACAGGCUGAUACCGCCCAAGAGUUCAUAUCGACGGCGGUGUUUGGCACCUCGAUGUCGGCUCAUCACAUCCUGGGGCUGAAGUAGGUCCCAAGGGUAUGGCUGUUCGCCAUUUAAAGUGGUACGCGAGCUGGGUUUAGAACGUCGUGAGACAGUUCGGUCCCUAUCUGCCGUGGGCGCUGGAGAACUGAGGGGGGCUGCUCCUAGUACGAGAGGACCGGAGUGGACGCAUCACUGGUGUUCGGGUUGUCAUGCCAAUGGCACUGCCCGGUAGCUAAAUGCGGAAGAGAUAAGUGCUGAAAGCAUCUAAGCACGAAACUUGCCCCGAGAUGAGUUCUCCCUGACUCCUUGAGAGUCCUGAAGGAACGUUGAAGACGACGACGUUGAUAGGCCG
rnacentral:rRNA from 2 species